UACAGGGGGGGCAAGCGUUGUUCGGAAUUACUGGGCGUAAAGGGCCAGUAGGCGGCCAACUAAGUCCGACGUGAAAUCCCCAGGCUUAACCUGGGAACUGCGUCGGAUACUGGAUGGCUUGAAUUCGGGAGAGGGAUGCAGAAUUCCAGGUGUAGCGGUGAAAUGCGUAGAUAUCAGGAGGAACACCGGUGGCGAAGGCGGGUCUCUGGGCCGAUAUUGACGCUGAGGAGCGAAAGCGUGGGGAGCGAACAGG
rnacentral:rRNA from 1 species